CUCUGGUAUUGAUUGGUGCUUGCAUCAUGAUUUACAUUUGAGUGAGUGGCGAACUGGUGAGUAACACGUGGGAAACCUGCCCAGAAGCGGGGGAUAACACCUGGAAACAGAUGCUAAUACCGCAUAACAACUUGGACCGCAUGGUCCGAGUUUGAAAGAUGGCUUCGGCUAUCACUUUUGGAUGGUCCCGCGGCGUAUUAGCUAGAUGGUGAGGUAACGGCUCACCAUGGCAAUGAUACGUAGCCGACCUGAGAGGGUAAUCGGCCACAUUGGGACUGAGACACGGCCCAAACUCCUACGGGAGGCAGCAGUAGGGAAUCUUCCACAAUGGACGAAAGUCUGAUGGAGCAACGCCGCGUGAGUGAAGAAGGGUUUCGGCUCGUAAAACUCUGUUGUUAAAGAAGAACAUAUCUGAGAGUAACUGUUCAGGUAUUGACGGUAUUUAACCAGAAAGCCACGGCUAACUACGUGCCAGCAGCCGCGGUAAUACGUAGGUGGCAAGCGUUGUCCGGAUUUAUUGGGCGUAAAGCGAGCGCAGGCGGUUUUUUAAGUCUGAUGUGAAAGCCUUCGGCUCAACCGAAGAAGUGCAUCGGAAACUGGGAAACUUGAGUGCAGAAGAGGACAGUGGAACUCCAUGUGUAGCGGUGAAAUGCGUAGAUAUAUGGAAGAACACCAGUGGCGAAGGCGGCUGUCUGGUCUGUAACUGACGCUGAGGCUCGAAAGUAUGGGUAGCAAACAGGAUUAGAUACCCUGGUAGUCCAUACCGUAAACGAUGAAUGCUAAGUGUUGGAGGGUUUCCGCCCUUCAGUGCUGCAGCUAACGCAUUAAGCAUUCCGCCUGGGGAGUACGGCCGCAAGGCUGAAACUCAAAGGAAUUGACGGGGGCCCGCACAAGCGGUGGAGCAUGUGGUUUAAUUCGAAGCUACGCGAAGAACCUUACCAGGUCUUGACAUACUAUGCAAAUCUAAGAGAUUAGACGUUCCCUUCGGGGACAUGGAUACAGGUGGUGCAUGGUUGUCGUCAGCUCGUGUCGUGAGAUGUUGGGUUAAGUCCCGCAACGAGCGCAACCCUUAUUAUCAGUUGCCAGCAUUAAGUUGGGCACUCUGGUGAGACUGCCGGUGACAAACCGGAGGAAGGUGGGGAUGACGUCAAAUCAUCAUGCCCCUUAUGACCUGGGCUACACACGUGCUACAAUGGAUGGUACAACGAGUUGCGAACUCGCGAGAGUAAGCUAAUCUCUUAAAGCCAUUCUCAGUUCGGAUUGUAGGCUGCAACUCGCCUACAUGAAGUCGGAAUCGCUAGUAAUCGCGGAUCAGCAUGCCGCGGUGAAUACGUUCCCGGGCCUUGUACAC
rnacentral:rRNA from 2 species